rnacentral:rRNA from 1 species
AACGAACGCUGGCGGCAGGCUUAACACAUGCAAGUCGAGCGCCCUGCAAGGGAGCGGCAGACGGGUGAGUAACGCGUGGGAACCUACCUGAAGGUACGGAACAACUCCGGGAAACUGGAGCUAAUACCGUAUGUGCCCGAGAGGGGAAAGAUUCAUCGCCUUCAGAUGGGCCCGCGUCAGAUUAGCUAGUUGGGUGAGGUAAUGGCUCACCAAGGCGACGAUCUGAGCUGGUCUGAGAGGAUGACCAGCCACACUGGGACUGAGACACGGCCCAGACUCCUACGGGAGGCAGCAGUGGGGUAAGUUUUGGACAAUGGGCGAAANCCUGAUCCAGCCAUGCCGCGUGCAGGAUG